GCCUGUGGGCAGCUGCAAGAGACCUAUGACAACCCACCCACCCCGCCCAGGUUCCAUGGAACUUUAUCUCUUUGUUCUCAAGGAAGGGCAAGCAGUCUGGGGAGAUUCUUGUAGAAUAGACAGAAUACAAUAAAGUAGUUAACUUGAACUCUUCCAUGUUUGGAUCCAGUUGCACCUGCCUGUCAAUAUCCUAAAUUUCUGGAAACUUCAAAGAGAGACAUCAAGGCAGAGCCUUCACAACAGAGCUCCCUCAUGACCAACAAGCAUUCCUUUUCCAAGUCCACAACUUCUCUUACAUGUUCUGGAGAUGAAGCAUAGAAUGGAAAAUUGGCAGACUCAAAGGGAGAAUGUCAUAUGGUCUUCAACAUUAUUUCAAAACUGCUUUAUAGAUGUGGCUGGACUUCCAGCAAAAGCAUAACAUCUCAGUGUCUGGCUUAGCAGACUGAGAAAGAGUGAUGGGGAAUAGAAAAAUAACCUGAUCCCUGGCCAAUAUCUGGGAAAUGUUAACAAAAAGAGUUUCCACUCUUAUUUUAUAGAAAAUUUAUUUCCCUUUUUCCCUUUCUAUAUGUAAUCCAUUUGCAAGGCAUACAAUUAUCAACUAAACCAUUAACUAAUACAA